rnacentral:rRNA from 1 species
CAUUUUGGAUAAUGGGGGAAACCCUGAUCAAGCCAUCCCGCGUGUAUGAGCAAGGCCUUCGUGUUGUACCGUAUUUUUGGCAGAGAAGAAAAGGUAUCUCCUAAUACGAGAUACUGCUGACGGUAUCUGUAGAAUAAGCACCUGCUAACUACGUGCCAGCAGCCGCGGUAAUACGUAGGGUGCAAGCGUUAAUCGGAAUUACUGGGCGUAAAGCGUGUGUAGGCGGUUCGGAAAGAAAGAUGUGAACUCCCAGGGCUCAACCUUGGAACUGCAUUUUUAACUGCCGAGCUAGAGUAUGUCAGAGGGGGGUAGAAUUCCACGUGUAGCAGUGAAAUGCGUAGAUAUGUGGAGGAAUACCGAUGGCGAAGGCAGCCCCCUGGGAUAAUACUGACGCUCAGACACGAAAGCGUGGGGAGCAAACAG